rnacentral:rRNA from 1 species
AUUGAACGCUGGCGGCAGGCCUAACACAUGCAAGUCGAACGAGUGGCGGACGGGUGAGUAAUGUCUGGGAAACUGCCUGAUGGAGGGGGAUAACUACUGGAAACGGUGGCUAAUACCGCAUACCAUCGGAUGUGCCCAGAUGGGAUUAGCUAGUAGGUGGGGUAAAGGCUCACCUAGGCGACGAUCCCUAGCUGGUCUGAGAGGAUGACCAGCCAAACUGGAACUAAGACAAGGUCCAGACUCCUAUGGGAGGCAAGAGUGGGGAAUAUUGUACAAUGGGCUAAAUCCUGAUGCAGCCAUGCCGCGUGUAUGAAUAAGGCCUUCGGGUUGUAAAGUACUUUCAGCGGGGAGGCGUUACCCGAAGAAGAAGCACCGGCUAACUCCGUGCCAGCAGCCGCGGUAAUUC